rnacentral:misc_RNA from 1 species
UUUACUCUGUUGUUGGAUAACACGGCAACGGUUGCAGUAGGAUGGUGAAGCGCAAACUUAAGGAAAGAGACAAUGGUGAUGGCAAAACUGACGAGCCAAUAUCGUCCAUCCAUAGCUUUAAAAACGAAGAGAAAAAGGAAUUUCGUCAGAAAUUAGUUACUUGGUUUCAAGAAAACCAAAGGGAUCUCCCAUGGAGAAAUCAUUUGAGCAAUCCAGAUAUCGAUCAAAGAGCCUACGCAGUGUGGGUCUCUGAGAUCAUGUUACAGCAAACACAGGUAGCAACAGUGAUUGAGUACUACAAAAGAUGGAUGAAGAAAUGGCCAACUUUACAGGACCUGGCAAAAGCUUCUCUGGAGGAGGUGAAUCAGAUGUGGUCGGGUCUGGGUUACUACAGCAGAGGGAGGAGGUUGCUGGAGGGAGCUCAAAAGGUUGUUAAAGAAUUUGGAGGAAAGAUGCCAAGGACAGCCGAGAGUCUGUUGAAACACUUACCUGGGGUUGGCAGGUACACAGCAGGAGCGAUAGCCUCCAUAGCUUAUGGUCAGGCUACAGGAAUUGUUGACGGUAAUGUGAUUCGAGUUCUGUGCAGAAUGAGGAUCAUUGGAGCUAAUUCCACAAGUCAACCAGUCCAAAACAAACUGUGGAGUUUGGCUGAUGAGAUUGUAGACCCAGACCAUCCUGCUGAUUUUAAUCAAGGAAUGAUGGAGUUGGGGGCCACAGUUUGUACCCCCAAGUCUCCCGGCUGUAUCUCCUGUCCCGUACAGAACCUGUGUCUAGCUAGAGCCAUGGUAGACCAGAGCAAACACAGAAAUGGCAACAAGCUCGGAAUCAACAAUGGACCAAUCAUUGCAGAUAUAGAAUGUGCUGCUGACAAAUGUGAUCUGUGUUUACCAGAAAACGAGACCUGGGAUGAAAAAGAAGGGGUCCAGAAUUAUCCAAGAAAAGCUGGUAAGAAGGCAGCCAGAGAAGAGAAGACGAGUGUGUGUGUACUUUGUAGAAGGACGAAGAGUGGAACCGAUCAGUAUUACCUGGUACAGAGGGCUCAGAAAGGAUUACUGGCGGGUCUGUGGGAAUUCCCCUCUGUGAAGGUGGAGGAUGAGUCUGAUGAGACGGUGGGUCACACAAUACAGGAGAUCCUCCAGAAGUCCUGUGGAUUGACCCUCCUCCCCUCCACACAAUCCUCAAUGGUCGGCAAUGUGAGUACACUCUUUAUAUCAAGUUGUCUGGAAUCAGCUUUUGAAUGCUGUAUGCAAUUUAAUUUUUUUUUUUACAAAAGUCUGCUGUAUUCAUGAUUUGGCUUCCUCCUUGUUUAUACAUGUAUUAAUAUUACAUUAUAUCAGUAUUAUUGCAUAAAGUAGACCUCUUUUAGAUUAAAUUAAGAUUAAAUGAGCUUUACACUACACAAUAAUACUGUACAUUUACUCAACAUGAAUUGAUGAAAGUUUUAUUUCUGUUUGAUGCCCUGUACCCUUUGGUUUGAUUGUGUUUUCAGGUGGAGCACAUCUUUUCCCACAUUCACCAGACCUACAUAGUACAAGCAGUGAUUGUCCCCGAAGAGGAAGUGGAUGAUUCACAAGUUCAUGCGGAAAACAGUCGAUGGGUGACCAAGGAAGAGUUCUCUUCGGCUGCUGUUUCCACCGCCAUGAAAAAGGUUUUCAAAGCUUUUGAAAGUCAUGGAAAAAAGAAAACAAGUACUGCUGAUCCUGGUAAAAACCAAAAGUCUAUAACAUCAUUUUUCAAAAAGAAAUAGGAAUGAUUCCUCAGAUUCAACAUACAUGUAUGGCUUUUACAGACUUGUGUACUUUAUAUGUGUUUCAAGGUAACAUGUGGUCUUGAAAUACAUGUGAAGUGCUAGAGGUGCUAUUUUCAUAAUUGUCUGGAAUAUUCAUGUAUAAUUGUACCGACACACUUUGUAAAAGAUUGAAAUAGUUGUUAGUGCAAUUGUCAGCCCAAUUGCAUCGUAGAAGGGAAUGACAUUGUAUUGAAACCAUUAUAUUUUGUAUAAUACUGUCAUACUGAAUAUUAGUAGCAGUAUAAUUUACACUUUUAUUAAAAAAUAUAUAUUCUU